rnacentral:lncRNA from 1 species
UCUUUCAAUGCCCCUUGGCAAUCAUUAUUUCACCUGACCGUUUGAUCUUUUUUUUUUCAACAUCUUGAAUAUAGGUUCGCACGUGGCUGUUAGAUGAGAUGUGAACCAUGACAGGUAGUUCAAUCUAUCUAUGAAACCACGAACCCCUCCUUUAUGUUCUCGGUUCAGGCGUUUCUCUUAUUGUUCUUUUUUUUUUUUUUUUUUUU